rnacentral:rRNA from 1 species
AGAGUGGCGCACGGGUGAGUACGCGUAUGCACCCUGCCUAUACCAGAGGGAUAGCCCAUAGAAAUGUGGAUUAAUACCUCAUAGUCCUUUUCCUCCGCAUGGAUUUUAAGGUAAAACUCCGGUGGUUGUAGAUGGGCAUGCGUGACAUUAGCUAGUUGGUGAGGUAACGGCUCACCAAGGCGACGAUGUCUAGGGGUUCUGAGGGGAUGAUCCCCCACACUGGUCCUGGGCCCCGGACCAGACUCCUACGGGAGGCAGCAGUGAGGAAUAUUGGUCAAUGGGCGCAAGCCUGAACCAGCCAUCCCGCGUGAAGGAUGAAGGUCCUAUGGAUUGUAAACUUCUUUUAUACACCAAGAAAAAGCAGGACGUGUCCUGCCCCGACGGUGGGUC